rnacentral:tRNA from 1 species
GCAGUGGUGGUUCAGUGGUAGAAUUCUCACCCUCUGUGUGGGAGACCCAGGUUCAAUUCCCAGCCAAUGCA